CCGGCGAGGGGAGUGAAAAAGAACCUGAAACCGUGUACGUACAAGCAGUGGGAGCACCCUUUGGGGUGUGACUGCGUACCUUUUGUAUAAUGGGUCAGCGACUUAUAUUCUGUAGCAAGGUUAACCGUAUAGGGGAGCCGUAGGGAAACCGAGUCUUAACCGGGCGUUAAGUUGCAGGGUAUAGACCCGAAACCCGGUGAUCUAGCCAUGGGCAGGUUGAAGGUUGGGUAACACUAACUGGAGGACCGAACCGACUAAUGUUGAAAAA
rnacentral:rRNA from 2 species